rnacentral:rRNA from 1 species
GAUGAACGCUGGCGCCGUGUUUAACACAUGCAAGUCGAGCGAAGCACUUUUGCGGAUCUCUUCGGAUUGAAGCAACUGUGACUGAGCGGCGGACGGGUGAGUAACGCGUGGGUAACCUGCCUCAUACAGGGGGAUAACAGUUGGAAACGGCUGCUAAUACCGCAUAAGCGCACAGUACCGCAUGGUACCGUGUGAAAAACUCCGGUGGUAUGAGAUGGACCCGCGUCUGAUUAGCUAGUUGGUGGGGUAACGGCCUACCAAGGCGACGAUCAGUAGCCGACCUGAGAGGGUGACCGGCCACAUUGGGACUGAGACACGGCCCAAACUCCUACGGGAGGCAGCAGUGGGGAAUAUUGCACAAUGGGGGAAACCCUGAUGCAGCGACGCCGCGUGAGCGAUGAAGUAUUUCGGUAUGUAAAGCUCUAUCAGCAGGGAAGAAAAUGACGGUACCUGACUAAGAAGCCCCGGCUAACUACGUGCCAGCAGCCGCGGUAAUACGUAGGGGGCAAGCGUUAUCCGGAUUUACUGGGUGUAAAGGGAGCGUAGACGGCAUGGCAAGCCAGAUGUGAAAGCCCGGGGCUCAACCCCGGGACUGCAUUUGGAACUGUCAGGCUAGAGUGUCGGAGAGGAAAGCGGAAUUCCUAGUGUAGCGGUGAAAUGCGUAGAUAUUAGGAGGAACACCAGUGGCGAAGGCGGCUUUCUGGACGAUGACUGACGUUGAGGCUCGAAAGCGUGGGGAGCAAACAGG